rnacentral:lncRNA from 1 species
GUUCAUCCCUAUUCAUUUGUAGGCUGCAGCAGAUGGCUAUGUGUCUUGUGCACUGUGCUGAGGUGUCCAGUGAGGGGUUGAGAGGGCCUGAAAUGCAGGCCAUACUAUUCUUCAGGCUGGGGAUCCUAGAGAAAAAGAACCAUUCUACUGUGUUCUUGGGGCAAGCCCCUGCCCAGAGGGGUCCUGUUUUCUGGUUCUACCAAAGCCCUGGAGUAAUUGAGCUGUACCCCAGCCACCUGAGCUUGUGAACACACAUCCACACUUGACUGAACUGCACACCUCGAGGUGCUCCCCCUCUCUGGGCUUCUGCCUGGCCCUUGCACAGCUUCUUGCCUCCUCCCUGGGGGCUUGUUAGAUGUUCCUGGCACUGUGCCCAUUCUGGGCAGGCCCAUAGUGGCCAUGGGAUGCUUGGCCUGGGGCCCUUGGGGCCCUUCUUGCACAUGCCUCUAGGGAGAGGGGCAUGGAACUGGAGACCAUACCCCCUUUCCUGUCACCUGCCCUCCCCCUGAAUCUCCUGACCCCCAGGACCCAAUGCCAUCAUGCACUAUGUCUGUGGUUUAAAACAGUCCUUGAAGUGGAGCUCCCGGUGUGCUUUGCCUCUGGGGUCCCCACAUCGAGAGCCUCAUUACUGUUGGUGACCAGCACAUUCUUGGGGCCCCCGGGUGGAGAGGUGUUGUGGUCUCACCCAAUGGUCAGGAGAGGACAGUGUGUGGGGACUCUGGAGUCAGCUGAAUGUCUCUAUGAAAGGCAUGGUUCCUUGAAGAGUGCAGAAUUUGAGUUCUUUUGCAUCAGAAACUGCCAUGUGAUGUCCAAGGAGCAGAGUGUGUGGUCAGGAACAGGAGGGCCACUGACACAGGGCCCUCAGCCUGCCCACAUUGGAAGAAGUGAACCAGACCUGCUCCUGUGGUUAACUGUGGCCCUAUAGGUCUCCUUAUUUGGUAAUUAAAUCACCAAAAUGUGAGGUAUUUAUGUUCCCCUGUCCCAGAAGUGUCUCACUUUGGACACAGGGUCUGAAGCAGAUUGGAAAGAAACCCAUGGCCUACAAAUUGCAGUUACUAAAACCCCACUGAGAAGAGAGCAGGGCCCUUGGCACUAAGCAGCUGCUGGUCCUCUGACCCUGCAGCAGGCACCCAGUGUCAAGGCCACUGAGAGGCCCCCUUCCUGGUGCCUUGUUUAGCCUUCUGCUGGCCAUUUGUGGCCUCAGCUUGCCUUGAGCCUUUGUCUUCCCCCAUGUCCCAUUAGCUGGCCUCUUGGUGGCUCUUGGAGCUCUGGCUGGGAAAGCUAGCUCUCCACCCUCGCUAAAUGCCCCUCACCCCCAUCCCAUGAGCUUCCGCCCUCCCUAAACCUGUC